rnacentral:rRNA from 1 species
GAUGAACGCUAGCGGCAGGCUUAAUACAUGCAAGUCGAGGGGCAGCAUGACUGUAGCAAUACAGUUGAUGGCGACCGGCAAACGGGUGCGGAACACGUACAGAACCUUCCUUCGAGCGGGGAAUAGCCCAGAGAAAUUUGGAUUAAUACCCCAUAGUACAACGGAGUGGCAUCACUUUGUUGUUAAAGAUUUAUCACUUGAAGAUGGCUGUGCGGCUGAUUAGGUAGUUGGCGGGGUAACGGCCCACCAAGCCUGCGAUCAGUAACUGGUGUGAGAGCACGACCAGUCACACGGGCACUGAGACACGGGCCCGACUCCUACGGGAGGCAGCAGUAAGGAAUAUUGGUCAAUGGGGGAAACCCUGAUCUAGCUACGCCGCGUGGGUGAUGAAGGCCUUCGGUUGUAAGACCUGUCGAGGGGACGGAA